rnacentral:rRNA from 1 species
AUUUUUUAGAAUAUAAGAGGACUAAAUAGGUCCUCUAAAAGAUCUAGGGUGCAGGAGCUCAUGAGAGCACAUCACCCUGAUUUUAUCUGUCUUUCUGAAACAAAAAAAGAAAAUUUUACUAGUUCCCAACUAGAGGCCAUAGAUAAUGGACUUGAGUUUGUGUGGAACUGGCUUCCAGCAAAUAAUACAGCUGGAGGGGUGCUAGUGGGUGUGAAAGAAGAUGAGUUUGAUAUUGUCAAUUGUGACAUUCAUACUUUUAGUGUGGUGCUUGUACUGAAAUCUAAGAAAGAUAACAUCAUGUGGAGAUUGAUCUUUGUAUAUGGGUCUGCAUAUGAUGCUUUCAAGUUAGAUUUUGUCCAAGAACUCCAUAGAGUGUCUGAUAUGUGGGCUGGCCCUACUAUAAUAGGUGGGGAUUUUAAUUUGGUCAGAGAAGCCUGUGACAAGAAUACUGGUGAUAUAAACCAACAUUGGGCAAACCUCUUUAAUGAUUGGAUUAAUAAAUUCGGUCUCAUUGAGCUUAAGAACUCAGGUAGAAAAUAUACCUGGGGAAACAAUCAGGACCAUAUGAUUAUGGCCACUAUAGACAGAUUUUCAUUACUAUCGACUGGGAGAGGAUACAUCCUAAUGUACAGGUUAAAGCUCUACCUAGAUUAG